rnacentral:lncRNA from 1 species
CCGACCUUGUGCAGCAUCUUUCUGAACUCCUCCGACUAUCCGAGCUUUCAUAAUACCAUCCGGACUCCCCCAGCUGUUGACCUUCCACAGUGUCCUCCAGAUUCCUUCAACAGACGAACUCCUAUCGUACCAUCCGGACUCUCCUAGCUCUCGACCUUCCACAGUAUCCUUCAGAUUCCUCCAACGGACGAACUCUUAUCGUGCCAUCCGGACUUCUCCAAUAAUGAGCUCUUCC